AUGUCCUGGGUUAAGCACCUUGCCCACAACACGGCAGAAUCAACCGGCCAAACGAAUACAUCCUCUGAAGAACCACUUCCUGUCGCCAUAGCCAAUACCUUGUCCCAGCAUGAAAGUUCCGUCCGCUUCAUCUCCACCGCCACUUCCGGUUCAGCAGCAUGGGGUUUCCGGGUCGCUGAGUCACCACAGCCUGAUACCUUCUCUGGCGAGCCAGGUAAAUGCCGCUGUUUCCUACUACUCUGCCAGUUAGCCUUUGAAAGGUCACCAGACACCUUCAUAAAUGAUUCGGUUAAAAUCUCGUACGUUUACUCUGGGGUAGGGCUCUGCAAUGGGCCGAGGCUAAGAGCCGGCAGGCUAGCUUCCUGCGAGGUCCGCUCUCGGCUUUUCUAGCUGAGUUCAAACAACUUUUUGACCAGACGGAGUUUCCCGCAGAAAUCGCAAAGCAGAUUUGGAAUCUCCAGCAGGGUAAACAGUCAGUCCUCGAUUUCGCCAUAGAAUUCCGCACUUUGGCUUUCAUAUCAACUUUAGACGAGGCUUCUCUGAAAGCCGCUUUCUCUCAGGCUUUGACCGAUAAGAUAAAAGAUCAGCUCGCGUUUUGCCAGGAACCCGAGAACCUCGAGUCCCUUAUCAACCUCGCCUCUAACGUCGAAAAACGCCUGAAGGAAAGACACAAGACUUCGGCGUUCAGGCCACCAUCAACCACUGCUUCACAGCAACGUCCCCAUCAAACAUCUCAACAGCACCUCCUUCCCUCGGGGUCAGACGAACCCAUGCAAAUCAAACGAGCGCAUUUAACUCCCGAGGAGAAAAUGAGACACCAUUCCCUGGGGCUGGGCCUGCCUACACCCUGGACUCGCACAACCUUCUCCUGUCCACCUCUUCUACAACCAUCGGACCUGCCGCCUCUCCUUCACUGAACUUCACCCAGUCCACCACCGCUAAGAACUGGUUUAAGACCGUAAGAACAAUUCAAACACCAAAUUUAUUCUUCUCUUGGUUCUCUGGUUCCGCCUCGUAUUCACGAUUGUUUGUUCUUUUGUUUUAGAUUUCCGGUCCGUUCCUGUUCCUGCUUUUCUGGAGCAGCGCCCUUAAUUUUUCCUUAGCUUCAUUUAAUAAAAUAUUUUACUCUUUUUACUUACCUGGUUUUCACGUGUGGUCCUUCAUGUCCUGGGUUAAGCACCUUGCCCACAACAUGACAAGUGUGGCUGCUGUCAAAAACAACUCUAUUUUAUAUCUAUCAUUUAAAUAUUCAGUUAAUAAGAGGAAAUCAUUAUAUAGACUAUCAGUAUUGACUAAACAUUCACAAAAAAUAUUAAGUUUUCAGUACAUUCAUGUAGAUAGUUAAUUUUUUUGGUUGAAACCCCAUUAAGAUGUAAGUAGGAACUUAUUUUUUUUGCACGUCCCCUCGUUGCUCAUAGGGUGUAGUUUAUUGGCACCACAAGGGGUGUAGUAGUACCUGGCAUUUCUGAAAGAUAUAAAAGGUGUCUUCCUGUUAGAGAAGUGGUUUUAUUUUUAUUUUUUAUAUUCUGUAAGUGACUCUGACUCUGCUUAGCAAUUUUGUUUUAUCUCAACAUAACACAAGCCUGGAAGAGUUCUGCCUUGUGGUGGAGUUGCUAAUGCUAAUGGUUAGCUUCUACUAGCUGAGAUGUUCCCUGCUUUUUCCUGGAUGCUUAAGCAAUAACAGCCUUCCCCAUUGUGAGUCAAGAUGGGCGAGUCCACGACUGACAGCGUAACAUAGAUCUGUCAGGCUUUUCUAAUCCUAGAUUCAGAGGUGUGGACUUGAGUCACAUGGAUUCAAGUCAGACUUGAGUCAUUAUUUUAAUGACUUCUGACUUGACUUGAUAAAAUUUAUAAAGACUUACAACUUGACUCGGACUUGAAAGCCAAUGACUUGCGACUUGAAUCGACUUGCAUCUGUUGACUUGAUAAUGACUUAAGCAUAUUUGAUAUUUUAGCACAAAAGUGGCACGACAUGAACAAAAAUCAUAAAUCAUUUUUCGUUCUGGGUUUGAUGUUGAACUGCUAAAUGCAACUAGCCUGGCCUGCCAGACUCGUCCUCUGUUUAAUUCUGCACAGAGAAAGAGUCUGGUUACUCACAGGCAGAGAGGCACUUGAGGGGCGGGGCUAGCCAGCUCAAAAAUAACCAAUCAGAAAAAAGACGGAAAUGCCGACUGUACCGCACGACUCUGUAGUUUUUUAGCUGUAGUCAAAAAAGGCAUUUGGCAACGGCACAAACAUCUUUUUUUUUUAGAAGAAAUGCUUGUUGUGGUUUUAAAGACAUUCAAGUCAUUUAGACCAGAGGAAAGAACUCCGCUUCAGCCGCCAUGUUUAUGACAAACUCGGCGUUAUGGUGCGUGACGUAGCUACUCAGCGCUGACUGGCUCGGUUAGAAUUCUCAGGGGCUGGGGUUAUUUGAAUAGGAGAGUUCCCAAACCCUUUCUCUCCCAACAGAGGAGGAGUCUGGCAGGCCAGGUUAAAAUGCAGCAGCACUUUUUAUUAUCAGUUUCAGUUGCACUUCCUGCUUGUUUAAGCAAAUAAAUGAAGCUUUAUUUCUGGAAUUUAUUUAUUAUCAUUGUCAUUAAAUUGAAGUUGGACAGAUGACUUGAUAAUGACUUGAAAAUUCAAAGUUGAGGACUCGGACUUGACUUGGUCUUGAAUGUCUUUGACUUGGACUUAACUCGAGACUUGACUGGAAAGACUUGUGACUUAAUUGUGACUUAAUUGUGUUGUAAAGCACCCUGGGGGGUUGUGGAACCCUAGAAGAGGCUAUAUCAAAUACAGACCAUACAUUUCUUAGUUGUGAUGGGAUUUUGGAGACAACCUAAGGCAUAUGAGGACAUUUUGUCCACAAUAAAGGUCUGACAAAACUCAAGAAUGACGUUGAUCCUUGGGUUAGGGUUAGGAAACUUGAGAAGAGUAACUCAAAAUGAAGAACCUGUAAUUCUUCUUCUGCCCGUUCAUGUAGAAGUGCUGGGGUCAUUACAUUACAAUAACCAGACAGAGAACCUUAACGCUAAUGGGUGUUCCUCAUGGUGUUGACCUGAUAAAGCUCUCCUGCACAUUCUGCUACAGUAAAUACAUUACAACCACACUUAAACUAGCUCAAAACAUAUUUUGCUUUAAACAAGUUAUGAUGACCAAGACACAUAACCUGAAUCAUCCAGCUCUAUUAUGACUCUGUAUGGACUAUGAUGUUUGAUACAUCAGAUGAAAACAGUUCCUACCAUAAAUCACUUGGCAUAAUGCUAUGAUGACUCCAUGGAAGGAGUCAGUGCUCGUGUGAUCCACUUCCACAGGUGUUUCCUCUUGUUUUCCCACUUCUUACUCAUGGCAUAUCCUGCAGUUUUGUUCCAGAGCUAUGGCAGCACAGUUCCUUUGUUAAUCUUCACUAGAUUGAAACAGGAUAAAGAAAAAGAAAACAAAGAAAAUCGCUGCACUGGCAGCUGACCCUCUUGAACCACAUUCAGUGUCACAUCUUGUGAAUGUAAACACAGCUGGCAGGACCGUAUUGUGUUCUGCUGCAUCCUUCUUGUACAGGAGUUGGAAACAUUCCUGCUGUCACCUGUGGCAAAACAAAGCAGACCACCAAGACUCACUAUCGCCUCAGAGUUUAAAAGAGGAGGAAACCUCAGUUAGAUCAAAUCAAAUCAACUUUAUUUAUAUAGCACUUUUCACACACACACACACACACACACACACACACACACACACACACACACACACACACACACACACACACACGUAACAACAGAGUAAACAAUAGGCUGAGUUCAGACGGGUCAGGUAAUGGACGACACAUCAUCAGCGGAGCCAUCUGCCUCGAUAGCAACAGAUCCACGGCAGCAGCCAAGACACCCACCCAGGGAGAGAGGGUGGAGACCCCCACCUACUGCCCGGGCACUACCCGAGGAGCAUCCCGGCCGCCGCCGCCGCCGACCCAAAGGCAGAGGGCAAUGCAGAGGAAACACUGGAGGAUCAAAAUAUAUAACAUGUAAAAUAACAAAAGCUACUACGGAUAGAAAGUAACUGAUAAAAAAGUGAUUAUAAAGAUAGUAAAAGAAAACAUAAUCAUGUAAAAACACUAAGAUGUAGAUAAAAUAAUAAAAUUAAGUAAAAGAGAUAAAUAGGUAUAUAUACACAGGGGCGGCGUUAGGCCCGCUACUUGGGCUGAAGCCCCGGAUGUUUCAUCAAAAGCCCCGGAUCUAAAUCGCGGAAGUAACAUGCAGUACCAAAGUCCAACAGAGAGGGAGCAGCUGGCAGUAGUUUGUAUACAGCCUGCCUGAGCCUCCACCACUGAAGAAGAAGCCCUUCAGCAGCCGGCUUCUUCUACACUCUCUGCCUGAAACGCAUGAGUGAAGAUGGACAUAAGGACGUUUUUUAGACCAAAAGUACAACGACAGAACCCCAGCUUUGAUGAGACUGGUGCUGACUCAGGUUUGUGAGUCUUAUUUGAAAAUAUUUGUUGUGCUGCUGGUUUGCCUAAAGUUAGCUUACUAUCAGGUAAAGUUGUUGGAGAAAGAAAGGGAAUAUUUACUAUCAUCUCACACUAAACACUAACAGGAACAAUACUCUG
ensembl:lncRNA